GGCACUUUGGCCGAGUGGUUAAGGCGAAAGACUUGAAUAGUUUAAUCUUCGGAUUAUCAUUACAAGGUUAUCUUUUGGGAUUUUCCCGCGCAGGUUCGAGUCCUGCAGGUGUCG
rnacentral:tRNA from 1 species